rnacentral:rRNA from 1 species
CGGCCACAAAUUCUACACAUAGAGUUCAAUGAAGACCAAGUGCUUGUGAUAGUUUGAGAAAUAACAUAUUUAAGAUGGUAAAAGGCUUGUUAGGGGAGCGAGGUGGGACUAAAAACAGCUUGCCAUAACCUCAUUAGUACCGGUUCGUGGUACGAACCGGCACUAAAUGGUGAUGGUGGGGCCAUAGCCUGACCGCAGGCUGACACA